rnacentral:ncRNA from 1 species
UUAAACGCGAUGACGAGAAGAGUAAAUAAAAUCAUUCCUUCACAGAGAGCCCUGAAUGAUGAGAACAGGGUAAGGGAGAUUUUAUCGAAACAAGCCUCUGAGCGGCAUAUCGGAACCGAUCGACGGGGAUGGUAUGACGGGAGCUCCUGUUAUAGAGCUAGAGUAUAACCAAUGCGUAAGAUGCAUUGCCGUACUUGAUGAGAUUAAUAUGGCGACAUAUUAAUGAACCUGGGGUGGUACCGCGAGAAUUUCGUCCCCAAG